UACGUAGGCAGCAAGCGUUUGUUCGGAGUUACUGGGCGUAAAGAGUAUGUAGGCGGUUGCGUAAGUUCGGUGUGAAAUCUCCCGGCUUAACUGGGAGGGUGCGCCGAAAACUGCGUGGCUUGAGUGCGGGAGAGGAGAGCGGAAUUCCUGGUGUAGCGGUGAAAUGCGCAGAUAUCAGGAGGAACACCGGUGGCGAAGGCGGGUCUCUGGGCCGAUACUGACGCUGAGGAGCGAAAGCGUGGGGAGCGAACAGG
rnacentral:rRNA from 1 species